rnacentral:rRNA from 1 species
CAGUCGAGCGAAGACUUGAGUUUGAUUCUUCGGAUGAAGACUUUUGUGACUGAGCGGCGGACGGGUGAGUAACACGUGGGUAACCUGCCUCAUACAGGGGGAUAACAGUUAGAAAUGACUGCUAAUACCGCAUAAGACCACGGUACCGCAUGGUACAGUGGUAAAAACUCCGGUGGUAUGAGAUGGACCCGCGCCUGAUUAGGUAGUUGGUGGGGUAACGGCCUACCAAGCCGACGAUCAGUAGCCGACCUGAGAGGGUGACCGGCCACAUUGGGACUGAGACACGGCCCAGACUCCUACGGGAGGCAGCUGUGGGGAAUAUUACACAAUGGAGGAAACUCUGAUGCAGCGACGCCGCGUGAAGGAUGAAGUAUUUCGGUAUGUAAACUUCUAUCAGCAGGGAAAAAAAUGACGGUACCUGACUAAGAAGCCCCGGCUAACUACGUGCCAGCAGCCGCGGUAAUACGUAGGGGGCAAGCGUUAUCCGGAUUUACUGGGUGUAAAGGGAGCGUAGACGGCACGGCAAGCCAGAUGUGAAAGCCCGGGGCUCAACCCCGGGACUGCAUUUGGAACUGCUGAGCUAGAGUGUCGGAGAGGCAAGUGGAAUUCCUAGUGUAGCGGUGAAAUGCGUAGAUAUUAGGAGGAACACCAGUGGCGAAGGCGGCUUGCUGGACGAUGACUGACGUUGAGGCUCGAAAGC